ACUCCCCACCGCAGUGGGGUCGUGGCUCCUGCAGUCACUGGGUUGAUGGUAGGGCCGGAGGUUGGGAUUCUCAGUUGUGAGAAAUCCUCUAAGUCAAGGCUGAUGCUAACCUGCUGCUUCAAUAUUUGCCAACUGCUGCAUCUUGAACCUUUGCAAAUAGAGCCUUGAAUACUUUCAGCAUAUUUAAAUCUAUCCUUAUUGUCCCAUAGCAUGUUUCUGGUGAGAUUUGGGGAAGAUCUGGGCAAAGAACCUCUGUCCUUUCUGCUUUCCCUGCAUCCCUGUCCUCUUUGAAGGUGACACGCUGCUGUACCAAAGCCGUGAAGGUUUAAACUGACAGCUCCCAGCCUCAAAGCUGGCUGUAGAAGCCAAAUCCAGCUUCCUCCAUACCAUUGCAUCCUGACUUGGCUGGACAGAGUGAGGGCAGGGAUUGCCCAUAAGCACCACAUUGGAGAACCCUCCCUGGAAGGAUGUGAGCUAAGAGGAGGACUCUGAUGAAGGCAGGAGGAGGAGGAGAGGCCGAGGCGGCGGGCAGCUGCCUGCUCCAUUGCCAUUAGCGAUGCGCUCUGCUUUCUCCCCCCACUUAGGCCAUUAUUCCAGGCUCACAGGGCUGUGGUUGGCAGUGCGGGCGCCGGGCCCCGCAGGGAUGCAGGCCCAGCAGCCAGCCCUCACGUCUUCCUCUGCUCUUAAGUGGGCUGGUAAAGGAAACCACCCCCCUGUGCCUGGAGAGCAGAGCCGUGUUAAGCCGGCUUGUUUAAAAGCACUGCAGCUUUCUUUUGGCACUGUGACAAGCGGGGACGAUGGCAAAAAGUCUCUUUUCUCGCUGCCCCAUCACUUCUUAUUGUGUGAUGCUAACAGGGCAGCGCAUCACUGCAGCCCUCCCCAUGCACCCAGCUCCUCCAGGUCAAUCAUAUGCGCAAGACUCUGGUGAUGACAUCCUGCUGCCAAGUGUCGCAUCACCAGCUCAGCUGCUGUCCCCCGGUGCUGUCUCACGUUUGGCACCUGUGCUCCCCAUUUCCUCCACCCGCACCAGCUUCUCACCCUCGCACACCCCCAGUGAUGAUGCAGUGCGCGGAGGAGCAGCGUUAGUCACCGUUCUGUAGGAAGAAGGCUGCGAGCAGAGGAGGAGGAGAAGUGAAGCCACAGUGCGGAGCCAACAACCAUCCCUCUACGUGUGGUUGGGGCUGAAAUAAUGGCACUGGGCUCAGGCAGUGCCCUGGAGCUGGCCAAGUGGGCAAAUCCAGCUAGGAUGACCCACAGAGGGGGAAGCGGUGUGGGAGCACAGGAACCAGAGCUGCUGAAAUGUUUCCCCUGGGAUGGAGCUGGGAUGGAUUUCCUGAGCAUCCUUUCCUCGAUAGAUGGAGCCUGUUGGGGAGAGGGUGGCUGAAGGAGAUGAGCUGACAACAGGGCAGUGAGAUGCCUUGGGGGUCUGUGGAGAGGUCUCUGCAGAGGCGUCUCCUGGGGAUGUUCCCAAAGCCAUUCUCUGCCUGGUCCAGGGCCACUGCAUGUUCCUGGAUGAGAAACGUGAAGCUCAGCCCUGAGAUGAGCUCUGCUUAACAGCCACUUCCCUACUUGCAGCUUCAAAGUCCUGCAGUGUGUGGGCACCAGACUGGAGGAGAGAUCAACCAUAGAACACCAUCUCCUUUCUUGCAAAUAAGCCUCAGUCCAGCCAGCAACAAAGCAGCAGCUGCCCUAUUUCCAGGGCCGGUGGGAGUGCAAAGCCCUCUCCUCCUCAUAUUCAUCGUUGUCAGCUGCAGAUUCUGCUGUAGCCUCCAACUGCAUGUAAGUCAGGACUGUGCCAUGCAAAUGGAUGGGACUCAAGAAGCAUCCUGCACCACGAGCUGCUGCCAGGACCUGCUCUGUGUUUUCAUGUCACACAUGUCCAUGUGUCUGCAUCUAAGCCUGUUCUUGACUUGCCCAGUACACACAGGGAUGCUGUGCAUGCUCCAUACUUUAUGUAUGUUAACUUUUCAUUGUAUCCAGACCCUCUUCCAUCACGUGCGUCAUCAGGUUGCUGAUUGCUUUCCCCAUGGUGGUCUGGAAUGUGAAGACCAAUGGGGUGCCAAUGUACCUGUGGACCCUGGGACACCAAUGCACUGGUGGAGAGUUAAUGAAUCACAACAUCACUUAUGCAUUAACUUCUUUGAAAUGCAAAGCACUCCCUUGAUAUUUCAGCAUUUUCCACCCAGUCCAAAGCAAAACCCGAUAGGUAGAGAACAGUAGGGAGCUGCACAAGGUAACACUUCCACCUUGUGUCUGGUACAACGAUUGCAUCAGCAUUCAUUACAAUGGAACUUGCUGCCCUUUAAAGCAGUUCAGCACAUGCUGUAUCUUCAGCUUUCCUGCUUCUGAUCAGCUCUGCACUGAACUGCUUCCUUGCAUGCAUUCAAAACAGUUUGUAAUUAACAAUCACAUUGUUUUCCUUUGAACAUCAACAGAGAUACAGAAAACAGAGAUUGAGAGCUGAGAUGUUGGUACGACUGGGUAUUAUUCUGCUUUCAUGAAAUGGCUUUUCCUAUUUUGCUGCAAAUUUAGUGCUGAUGAGAAGCUGGGCCAGUGUGCAGGCAGCCGGGAGGCUUCACUCACCACCUCAUGGACAAAUUUCUCUCCUAUCACUAUGGGGAAGCAGGAAAUUUGAGCUUGGAUGCCCUGUUACCUUUGCCUACGCUGAAUGCAUUCUGGACACCAUUGCCCCAUUCACAAAAUACACUCAGCAGAAAAACCUGCAGAGAAGGAUGAGGAAAACUAAGAUUGUGCAGGCUCCUGAGCUACGCAGCGUGUUGGAGCAGAGCGGCUGCGUCGAAGCCUUGGCUCUGUGAACAAGAAGCAGAUUACAAACUUCUUCAGUUCUGGUGCAGAGCUUGGAUGGGAGGAUUGCUCCCUCCAUCUGUUCUUCACAUAGGCAAUCUGCCUUCGAAAGCCAUCACUGCUUAAGUAUGGAGGAAGCGUAAAUGCAGGAGCACCUGAAUAUUGUUUAACAGAUGGGGACACACAUUUUUCAGGCAGAGAUUUCCUUUCCAUUGCCCCACUUAUUUCAGAGGUGUUUUUCAGGACCAUCCUUCCAGCGCCUGGGAAUAGGAUCCCAGCCUGCAGUUUGUGGCGACGGUAGUUAAUUCUCAGCAGCUAACUUUGCUGAGAACACUCUUGUGACAUUUGUGAAAUUUGCUUUCAUCUCCUUCCCUUCCAACUAAGCUCACAUUUUUCAUCAAAGCCUUCCAAGAGGCAUCACACUCCAUGCCACACUCUCCACCCUGGGAGCAAAGUGGCUGGAGUUCAUCUGUGCCAUUCUGAAAUGCUCAAGCAAACCGAUAGAGCACACAGCCAGGCUGCAGCCUGCGAAUGCCUCUGCCCACAUGCACAUCUUCUCUCCCUGCAGGAGCUGCUCUUCUGUUGAUGAUGCUCACUUGUUCUCGCCCCUUUUGCAUUAGUACGUACGGCACUUUCAGCUUCAUCAACCCAAGGACGACUACAAAUCUUCCAAUGGGAAUGCUGUUGUAGACUGCUGAGUGGCAGAAAGGAAAUUACUUUUCUUUGCAACUUUUUGAUGAUUCCAUGCAAACAGAUGGUGGACCCCAUACCUCAGGGACUGCACACUGAAGCCACCACCUCACUGAGUUGGUGAAACCAACAGAAAUGUGUCAUAUGGACCCCCACAGAGCCCAUCUACUGAGAGAAGUCACAGCUGGCAAAGAGGAGGAAGAAAGAACUGAAAAUAUAGGCACAGAGGAUGGACCUCAAAUUUCUCAGUUUUCAUCUCACUUCCCCUUCCCAUUCUUUAGUCAUCGUAUUCUUUCCGGAAGAAAGUGGCUGUUGGAAAACAGAGAGAGAAGACGACAAACACUGCUGUGGAAUUAUUUAACGAGCCAGAAUGAAUUGCAUUUGAAAUCAUUUAAAUGGGAUCUGGGAGUAUUUAACUGCAGCGCAGGAACUUAACAAGAGUGGGAAAGGAUUUUGUGCUAAUUGCUGGCAAUGAUAUACCUACGGAGAGAGAACAUGCAGCAAUUAGUAAGCAGGGCUGUAAUUUCAGCCCAAGGUCCCUGCAUGCCCUGGAAUAUGGCAUGGAUUAUCUGCUGAAAGGAAGACAGGGGCCUUGGUCUGCAUGUGACCAAAGGGCAGAAGAUGAGGUUCUCAUUAAGAAGUCAUUAGCCAAGAUUGUCACACAAGAGAUGGGUCUGCUCAGACCCCACUGCACCCUUCCCAACCUAACUUGGCUCAAAUUGACAAAACUGAAGGAAACCCAAAGCCCCAUCCCAACAUGUGCUGUGCUGCUUGGUCCCUUCCCACCUGCAGGGACUCAUCCUGCCACCAGCCCUUGCUCCAAGCUGUGAGUCUACACAGAGCGCAGUGGGAUGACCACCAACUUGGCCACUGCUUGCUGGGCAAGGAAGCCAGGGCAUCCUUGGUGCUUGUAGGUUUGGGAAGCAGGGUGAGCAGGAAGCUGAGCUGGAGAACAAGGACAUGUCCUUCCUAUAGAAAUACCCAUACAGUCCAGACUGUAUGAUGCCACUGUUCUGAUCCUGCAAACUUCAGGCACAAUCGAUGUCCACCAACACGUCCACAACCCCAGCCCCGAAAGAAUCAUCUGAAACAGCGCCUGGUGAGACCAGGUGUUCUCACUAUGGGCUAAGGCAGAAAGCCACCCUGCCUGGCUGAGCCUCUGCCACCUGACUGAGGCACACAGCCUCUGACAGCCUCUGCUCAUUGUUUUCUAUCUCCAUUCUCUCCCUGCGAUGCCUCUGUCUUUGGUUUUUGUCUUUCAAUCAGUUUUCAUCUCAGUAAUUCCCAUUCAAUGGUUAGUCUCUGAUCUUUCUAAUUGAGAUCAGAGCUUCAUGUAAUAGGGAGGGGGGAGGGAGACUAUUUUUAAUUUGCUACGUUCCCAUUAAUAACAAGUUCUAAUUAAAAAACCUCCAUCUUCCAUCCUCCCAAGUUCAGAGGAAAACUCUGCGACUUCUGUUGGAAUCUUCUCCUGAUAAAUUGGUACCACAGCCUCCUAGAACAGCUGGUCCUCUUUAGCAGGCAUCGUAAUUAAUGGGAAUAAUAAAUGCAUUCAAAGCAGGUUCGUAACCUUCCUUUCUGUGCACUCAGGCUUCUCUUUGCUUUGUGAGAGAGACACAUCAGCAUCUCCACUUCACAAACAGGCCCAGCAGAGCUGCCUAAUUCUAAGAAGCCCAGAUGCCAGUGGUAGCCACUGGGCCAUCACAGCCCCUGUGAUACCCUUUGUGCAGGGCUCCAUUUACACCAGCUGCUGGCAGGGGCUGCCUUGGGCUGCAGAUCAGCUGUGCUAGUGGUGGACAGACUCUUGCUCUCCCUCUUUGCUUUUGUUCAUCGCUACUGAGUUAAUGGAUUUGUCUCAGGAGCAGCCAAACCGGGAGCCAUCAACACAGAUAUCCCCAAGAUGAGCAAUCUGUCCUGAGCAGUGAUUUCAAUUAAAGGGUCAUUAGCGUGAAAUCUUAUCCCACCCAGCUCCCAUUUGCCAGGAGGAGGUCCUUUUCCCCGUCCCAAGCCUGUUCUGCGGUUAGAGCGUGCUGCUCCUGCUAGAGCCCUCCCGUUUUGCUAAAACACAGCAGCUGCUGCUAAUAAACAAACAUAUUGAUCAUAGAGAUAUGGGCUGUCAGGGACUUAAUUCAUAAAUGAAACGUACUGGGGAGUGCCUGGUGGGAGAGGGCUGUGCUUGGAGAGCUCGAGGUCAAGAUGGUGCCUGGAGGUGGGAGCAGAAGCUGCUUAGCACUGGGGUUGGUGUUAAGAGUUCAAAGGCUGAAUUUGUUCAUGGUACAGAAAGGAGCAGGGCAAAUUUCUCCCCUGUCAUUAUGGGCCAUCAGUGACAGAGAGGGAUGUGUUGUGGGGAAGGGCUCCAGUUCCUUCCUACUGAAACAUUUGGGUUAACCCAACCAUUUGGGGCUAAUUUAAGAAGACCAUCAAAUAUUCUCCAAAAGCCAAUCGUAAAGUCCUAGAAGGAUCUGAGGCUUGGAGAGAAAUAGGUGCUGCCUGCCUGCUGAAAUCUGUGAUGCUGGGAUGGCAGAGCAUCAUGUCAGAAACUCCAUCAGUACAGAGGAGGGGACAGGAGCAGAGCUGCAGGUUUCCAAUUUUCCUACCCUCCUGACAGCAGUUUUCCUGAUUUGGGUCAAAUUUUCCCUCCACCUAUAGACAGUAAAACUCUCUUUUUGUGUGAGAUUAGGACUGUGUCACUGAGAUACUAAUGGCUGCCACUGUUUCUAAACUGUUGUUAUUGUUUAGCAUCUUAUCAAAACAAGGUACAAUCAACUCACAGGUGGAUUCCACACAGCCAGGGACUGUAAUUACGACAGGUGUGUAUUUGAAAUACCCUUUACAGGUGCAAUAAAUUACAAUGAAACAGCCAAGGAUGGAGGUUGAACUGUAACAGGCUGCCAUACUUUUGGUAUUACCAUGCCAAAAGCUGUCGUUGAAAUAGGCCUUGGUAUUUAUGGUCCUGGGUAGUGGAGGCUUUGCUAAGAUUCUGAUGAAUGAACUUCCAAGGACAGGAAUAGCUGUCAGUCUGAAAUAUUUAUCAGUCUGAACUCUCUGUGCGAUUCAUGCCAUGGUUUUGCUACCUCCAUUUUUCUUCCCGUCUGCUUGCUUUGAAGCUCAGGUUCCCUGGGCACCAGGUAUUCAGCACUGCUGAGUGCUGUGCUACCUCCUGCCCCUGGGGCCAUGUUUUGGGCUCACCAAAGGAAUUCCUGCUCCCCUGCAGUGCAGGAGAUGGAGGCCAUGUCUAGAUGACUUCAUGCUUUCCCCAGCAUGUGUCCGGAUGCUGCUGCUGCAAUGCCUUUGCUGUGGGAUUCCCACAUCCCUCUGGCUAAGGAGAGGUCAAAGGAGCUUCGGGGCAUGCAAAUAUGACGGGCACUGCAGCCUUGGUAGUAGAUCCAUGCAUGAAGGAAAAGGAAGGUGGGUUUGCUGAGUAGGCUUCAGAAAAGCCUGAGAACCAGGAUUUCUGUGCAAAGGCAAAGCCUGAUCUCACCAACUGGGAGUUUCCGUGCUCCUCGGGUCUCCAAGGCACCCGAAGCUUGCAACUUAAUAAAAGUCUAAACAUUAUCUUCUGAAAGAAGGAAUGAAAACUCCCAGUGAAUCACCUGCAGCAAAUGCCAGCAAAGCACGUUUCCUUGAGGUUUCUUGAAGCUACCUCUGAAAGGUCAGAUCUCUCAGUGAGACAAAAAGCUCUCUUCUCCCUCCUAGCUGUUCCAUCAAUACUUUUUUUUUUUUCUCCAUUUAUUUUUAUCUUCCCGUUCAGGAAAACAUACAUAAAGAAAAAAAAAAUGCUGCUUCCCAUGACAGCAGCUAAGUCCAAAGCUCAGUCUUAGACUAAGAGCUCAGUCCAAAGACCCCAAUACACUUUAGGAGCAAUAGAGGAGGUGAGGAGACCCUAGUGAUGAUCAGGGCAAUGCAAAGUCAGCUGUGAAGUUGGAUGCAGAGGGGACAGCUGAUAUUCUCCACUCAGAAUCAAAGCAAGAGUCUUGUCCAGACAUGUUCCCUUCAGCCAGGGGAUCUGGCCGGCUCCGAGCACCUGAUCAGCUGUGGGUGUCCCCGUUUAUGGCAGGGGAGCUGGACUGACGGCUUCUUCCAGCAGCCAGCUCACAGGGUCUGGGCGUGGGCAAGGGGGAAGGAGGCCCCACCUCCUGGCGAGAGAGCAGGAGCUCUGCAGGGAGGAUGUGUCUCCUCUCUCACUCAUGCACUUAAUGACUCUCCACUGAGUUAAUCGUGCAGUACAAUUCAAGGGUAAUAUUCCUAACCGCACCGCUGGGCCCUCAGCGAUACCUCCAGCUGCGGCACACCUCCACCUGCUGACACCAUCCCUCCUUUUUCCCCAUCUCAUCUCUCUUGGUCAUUAUGGCCUUUGUCCAACAAAGCACUUAAACAGGUGUUCCCCUGAGCAAGUAACCCAGCCUUCUCCAUGCGGUGAAUCCCGAAGGCCGUGCAGGAGGCAUCUGGCCACCUCUGCCCUCUGCACACCUGGGGUUUUUUGGUGUAGAAGAGCACUGGGGCCAAGGGCAGAGCAGAUGGAAGACCCUUGGCUGAUCUUCUCGCUGUGUUCUGCAGUCCUGACAUCUGUUCGUGUGUGACAAGGGGAAUAAAUCACUAAGGAUUUCCUGCCUGGACUUGGGGAACCUGAAUGCUGCUGAAGGCUGAGGUCCUUUGGUUUGCUCAGCCCAGAGAAGAGGAGGCUGAGGGGAGGCUGCAGGGCAGCCUACAGUUCCCUCAUGACCUACAGCUUCCUUAUGGCCUACACCUUCCUCGUGGCCUACAUCCCCUCCAUGGCAACCUACAGCUUCUUCAUGGCCUACAUCCCCUCCGUGGCAGCAUACAGCCCCCUCACGGCCUGCAGUCCCCUCAUGGCAGCCUACAGCUUCCCCAAAGGGAAGAGAGGGGCAGGCAGUGCUCUCAGCCAUACGGUCUGAUUUUGGGGACUUGAUGAUCCUUAUGGGUCCCUUCCAAUUUAGGAUAUUCUAUGAUUCUGUGCUUCUAUAAAGUGCGCGAGCCCUCCGUGCAGAACAUGAUUCUUGCUACCAAAAUGUCUCCUGUAUGACCAGAACCAAAAUCUCUGCAUUUCACCCCAAAAGCACCAGACUCAAGGUUAGCUCCAUGCACCAGUGCAGUAUCUCUGCUGCUCAGCUCGGUAACAAGCCGCAGAUAAGACAGUGGGGCUUACAUUUCAGGACUUAAAUAUUCAAUUAAUCAAUGGAAUAUUCCAUUAGUGUAAUAAUCACUUGGCAUUGGCUGAUCUAUCGGUACAUCUCAGCUGGGCCUCGCAAAUUGAUUUCUGAUGAAGUUCUAAUUGACUGCACAGGCAGAAGAGGACCUGUCUGAGCAUAUUGAAGUGGGGUCUGUGGAGGCUCUGGCAGUACCACCUCCCCACAAGGAAGGGGAAGGAGAGGGGGAAGGUGUGAUUUAUGCCCCAUUUAUCAAGCAGCCUCUACCCUAUCCUGUUUUAUUGGUCCCAAGUGAAGUAUGAGAGCUUACAGCUUUAAUGUGGAAAUUUGCAGGCAGCUGGAGACCCCAGUGAGCUGCUGACAGAAUCACAGAAUCACUGACAGCUGCUUGUCACUUGUGCUGUGGGUGCCGGGGGGACCUUAAAUCCUGAGCCUCUCAACACGGGAUGCAGCCGUGGAUCAGGUCACAUUCAAAGUGCUGAGGUUUCCUCCAGAGCACUCCACUCUCCAUAAAGCCAUACCAGCAAAGCCAUGGGUGUUUCUUUCCUGUUGAUGUGGCUUAGAUCUUCUGGGAGCUGGGGUGCAUGGAGGGGGACAGCAUGUCCUCCUUGGCUAUCCUGGAGCCCUGAACCCUGUGUUCUGCCCUCCCUGAGCCUGGUAAUAGCAUGUCUCCUUUGCAAAGUUAUGAGCUUUGUCAGGCAAGUUUGUGGGCACCUUGGGUUGUAACUCCAGUAUGUCUCCAAUAUGUCUCCAAAGGAUCUGCCAUAAGGGCUCAGGCAAACUCUGUCCCUGCAGUCUGGCAGUGCACUUCUAUUGCUAGGGUAGAUGCUGUAGGAGAGCCAAGGCGAGGUCUGUGAUGUACCUGAAUGUAGAGGCACACAGAAUAUCAUAGAAUAUCCCAAGGUGGGGAGACCCCAAUUCCCACCCUCACAGGACAAGGGUUAGGCUGCCUGGAGAUGUGUGUUGCACCAGAGUAUGGUUCUUCAGUGAAGGUCCAUGCAGUCUGACUGACAGCCCCAUUUUGCUCCUGAGAACAUCACUUGUGACCUACUGGCUCCUUCUGAGCUCUCCUGGUGGGAAGAGGGCACUAUGCCAGGUCUCUGAAGCACGCCUGACUCUGCUUCUCCUUCAGCACGCAUGGAGACCUAAUGGUUGAGCUGGGCAUGAGGAAGGUGAUGGAUAGUGAUUUCAUGAAAAUUGAAAACAACACCAUCAACAAAACCAAUCAGUGCAUGUGUGGCUGGCUGCUGAGUUUUAAGAGAAACGGCUGUGUUUUUCAAACACACAGAAGUGACUGUAACUUCCUCUCCAUCCUCUACCUACAUUAACUUAAGAGAGAGCCAGGUGCUUAAAGGUUGCUUGGUAGGCAAUGGCUGUUCUGUAAAGGGCUACUCAUCUCUAACAGAGAUAGCUUUUCUUUUAUUGAACAUCAUCCAGAGUGGCUGAAACCUGAUAAAAAAAUCCAGAGUGAUAGCUUUCUUUUUUUUUUUCCUUCCUAUUUCCAGUGAGGAAUAAUAACCAGCAAAAUAAAAAAGGCAAUUGUCUCGCUGUAUGCACUGCUUUAAGCAAAGGCUUUCUGUGGCAGGGUUUGCAGCUUAGGUAAAUGUCCAAUUAGAAAGAUUUUGAAGAAAGGCCUUGUUUGAACAUGUCCCCCCCACACCAUUUCCAUUUCCAGUAUUUCUAGCCUCAUCUAUUUGUUAUAUGGGAAGGAGAUUUAAGAGGAUGAAGCUGCAUGUGUGGGGCUUAGGUGACAGAAUUAUCCUUGGGAAAAUCAGAUUCGGGUGGAAAGUGGCAACAUUUAGUGAAAUGGCUUAGCAGGCAAUAUUGGUGGACACUUGGUACGUGGACACUUAGACUUGAUGAUUUCAGAGGUCUUUUCCAAUUUAAUUAUUUUAUGAUUCAGUGAUUUUAUGAUUCUACAAAUAUGUUUUUGUGUGGUGGUCCCUGGGACAUGGAGAUGUGAGACACAUUAGGUUGAUUCUGCUUCCUUGCAGCAAGGACAAAUGCACUGAGAUUUAUGGAAAAGGGGUUUCUGGCUCUAAAAAAAAUGGAAAUAAAUUUUACAUGGGGAUGAUGAUUCCUGUUCACCUCGAACCUAGGGUGACAAGCUGCGAAUCAAAGCCUUUCUGUGGUUGUAGCUGCGGGUUGCUUCAGAGCAGUCUUGACUGAUGAGGUUUGACUGAUUCCUAGUUUGUUUGUUUUUGUUGUUUUCCAAAUGACUGUUUUUAAUUACUCGAUGAGCAGAGCCAGAAGUACAAAAGUACAACCAGCAAUGGAAAUGCGUCUGAGCGGGGCUGCAAACGGGGUAGACAAAGCCCACGCUUAUGGCACGUGGGGAUAUUUCUGCACAGCAGCUUCAUCUGCACAGGAUUGCACACAUUUCUCACCACUCCUUGGGCACCACGAAAUGUAGAGAUGUGAUGCACACUGAGAUGAGUCCUCUCCGAUCCUUAGAAAAUCCACCAGGAUUGAAUUUGGCCAUACUCACGAGCAUCUGGUACAUAUAUCUGCUAUAGAAAGAGUAGACCCUGUUCUUCAAAGCUGUCAGCCCUAUUUUUACCCACAACAUGAAGUUCAAUUAAAAAUUACAUUAUAUGUCUCCCAGAUACGUGUUUCUCUCGUCUCUCUCCUUUUUUUCCAAGCUGUGCGACAUAUGGGGCAACCACACUGCGUGUGCUCAGAAAGCAUGUCCAGUCCUCAGCAUGUCAUAGAUUCCCACACAAAUAUGGAGGCUAUUAAGUAGAAGUUAUUAAGUGUCAUUUCUAAUAUACUGGAAUGUGACAAGGAAGGAUUUAUUUUUAUGCUGGUGCCUCGGCCAUCAGAGCAGUGGUGGGUGCGCGGUUUUUCUCCACUGUUGGAGCUCAGCAGAGUGGUUUCAUUGACCUCUACCUCCCAUUUGGUCCCUGCUUGGGAUGUUCUUGGGCUGGAACUAAUGACAUAGUGUGGUUUAAACUUGGAAAAAGUGACGCUGAACAUUUGAGGAUAUCAAAACCCGUAUGGAGAAGCAGAUGUAGCCCAAAUGCUCAUCCUGAAUUGAAAGAGGACACACGGCCCAGCUGAGUUAUGGACCAAGACAGGAACCACUUCUGAUAAACUUCUCAAAUUCCAUCUCAGAGAUGGGCAAUGGAAACCACUGGUAUGUGUAAGCACUACAGGUUGUUUAAUCCUUCCACCCCCAACCCUACUCUGAUUGAAGACCAUGCCUGGAGUCAACUUUUCUUGUCAGAAGCGGAAUUUCAGUCUUUCUAAUAAAAACACUCUUCUUCUCCA